GAAAUGCGAUAAGUAAUGUGAAUUGCAGAAUUCAGUGAAUCAUCGAAUCUUUGAACGCACAUUGCGCUCUUUGGUAUUCCGAAGAGCAUGCCUGUUUGAGUGUCAUAUAGACUCAUCCUCUCGGGUUUCCGAGUUGGGUGCUUUGGACGUCUGCCAUGCUUUGGCUCGUCUUAAAUGUCUAAGUGGAAUGCGUAAUAAGUUUUCGCUCCCUCCACUCUAAUACACUUUUAUCUCUGACCUCAAAUCAGGUAGGACUACCCGCUGAACUUAA
rnacentral:misc_RNA from 1 species